UUUUUUUUUGUUUUGCUAGAGCUCCUCGGAUGUCCAAACACCAUGAAAAUUUGCCUGCACCCGAGCAUCUUGGAUGCCAAAAGAAGUAGGAGGUAUUUCUCUGGUAGUGAUAAAAAUUGGCAAAAAGAGUCUAGGUUUCAAUUAUGUAACUUCUAGACCUAAUUUGAUUUUGUCUAAAACUGGCAUCGGUUCCCGUUUUCGGGAGGGAUAACUUGCACCAUAACUGCUUCUACAACUUUUUACAGAUGGAGAGUAGGAAAUGGACUUAAUAUUAGCUUCUGCGAUGAUAUUUGGUCAGGGGAUUGUUCCUUGAAAACAGACAGGGCGAUUCAAUCUGAGCUACUCUUGCCCAUGAAGAGUAGCAAAAAAGAAAAAAUAAUUCUGAAAAUUUUCAACGUCCAAGAUAUUCGGGUGUGCAAUGCGCGUGCAAAUGUUCGUGGUGUUUGGACAUUUGAGGAGGUCGUGACGAAAAAACAAAACUUGCCACUCAAAGAAACUUUGAAAAAAAUGCACUGUUUAGAAACUUUUUUUUUUGUUUUGCUAGAGCUCCUCAGAUGUCCAAACACCAUGAAAAUUUGCCCGCAUCCGAGCAUCUUGGAUGCCAAAAAAAGAAAAUCGGAUUCUUUUGAAUUUUCUUUUUUAUCACUGUUCAUCGGGUGUAGAUGAGCCUGAGCUCAGAUAGCAAUUACAAUUUGUUUAUAUAUAUGUAAUCAACAGGAUUGUUCAGUAUCCCAGGUCUGGGAUGGACCAACCUGAAGUUCUUUUCAGGAGAUGUGUAGAUGUGAAGCUUUUCUGAGAUUAGCAAAAAUUGCUUUGCUUGUUAGAAACUGUGACUCUUCCUUCUUAUAGAGAUUGCCCAGUCUGGCUAUUGGAGCCUUCUGGCUGUUAUUCUGUUAAGUCCUUCUAUAAUGCCAUAAUCUUUGGACAUGUGGUCUCACCCCAAGAAUUGAUUAGGAAGAUUUUGACUCCUCAAAAAAAUUAUGUAUUCCUUUGGUUGUGUUUUAUAAGCAAAAAUCAACUACGGAUAAUAAUCUAGCUAAGAGAUGGACUGUCGAUGACAUGGCUUUCUAUAAUUGCAACCGACAAAGCUGACACGAUUAGGAGGCCUCUAGUUUGCUCUUGCGGCAGCUGGUCUAAAGACUUGUGGGCUUUCCUUUUCAGACACCAGGACUUGUCGCUUGUUUGUUGCUUAGGACGAACACGUUCCAAUCAAGUGUUUCAAGACAAAAAUAGCAAGGUUGAGAAUGAAUAAUCUCUGUUCGCUUUAUUCAGUAGAAAUGCUUACAGAAUGUCAAGUUUCUGACUCAAGCAAAGCAGCAAACAAACCUUUGUAGGAGAAAAAGAGAAUUACUGUUCACUCAGGGCAAGCCGUGGGAAAAAAAGGACUCACGCCACAUAAGAAUACGCACUCACAAACCACAAGGAGAAAAGAGGGGAGAAAAAGAAAAUGUACACUUCAGUUAGCGACAGUCUUCGGCGCACAGCGAGGAUUA
rnacentral:lncRNA from 1 species